rnacentral:rRNA from 1 species
GACGAACGCUGGCGGCGUGCUUAACACAUGCAAGUCGAACGGAAAGGCCCUGCUUUUGUGGGGUGCUCGAGUGGCGAACGGGUGAGUAACACGUGAGUAACCUGCCCUUGACUUUGGGAUAACUUCAGGAAACUGGGGCUAAUACCGGAUAGGAGCUCCUGCUGCAUGGUGGGGGUUGGAAAGUUUCGGCGGUUGGGGAUGGACUCGCGGCUUAUCAGCUUGUUGGUGGGGUAGUGGCUUACCAAGGCUUUGACGGGUAGCCGGCCUGAGAGGGUGACCGGCCACAUUGGGACUGAGAUACGGCCCAGACUCCUACGGGAGGCAGCAGUGGGGAAUAUUGCACAAUGGGCGGAAGCCUGAUGCAGCAACGCCGCGUGGGGGAUGACGGCCUUCGGGUUGUAAACCGCUUUCGCCUGUGACGAAGCGUGAGUGACGGUAAUGGGUAAAGAAGCACCGGCUAACUACGUG